UGGGGUCGCACACAAAAAUUCGAGCCUAGUUCUCUGUGAUUCCAGAACUACCUUGACCACCACGUCAUGUUAAUCUAAAAGACCAGAGAGAAGAGAAUAAUACAGAGAGGAAAAAGAAAGGAAUUUUGUGAGCCAGUUGUAAAGAAUGCACAGGUUAAGAGAAUGCAUGAGGAGAAUAUCUGUGCAAAUAUGCUACCAAGCCAGUAUAUGCACCUGGAGCAACAAGCUUAUCUAUUGACCAGGACCCUAAAUCUUCUGGCGCCUGUGGGUCUGUCUUGCAUGCUGAUAAAGGGAAAGCUUGGAGGGAUUCACAAAUAUGCUAAGAAUGGACACUUCCUUAUCUUUGUUUUGCUUAUGCUAUACAAUGUUGUAGAACCUUGAAUAAAACUGACAUUGCUUGG
rnacentral:lncRNA from 1 species